GACGAACGCUGGCGGCGUGCUUAACACAUGCAAGUCGAACGGUAAGGCCCUUCGGGGUACACGAGUGGCGAACGGGUGAGUAACACGUGGGUGAUCUGCCCUGCACUUCGGGAUAAGCCUGGGAAACUGGGUCUAAUACCGGAUAGGACCCUGGGAUGCAUGUCCUGGGGUGGAAAGCUUUUGCGGUGUGGGAUGGGCCCGCGGCCUAUCAGCUUGUUGGUGGGGUGAUGGCCUACCAAGGCGACGACGGGUAGCCGGCCUGAGAGGGUGACCGGCCACACUGGGACUGAGAUACGGCCCAGACUCCUACGGAGGCAGCAGUGGGGAAUAUUGCACAAUGGGCGCAAGCCUGAUGCAGCGACGCCGCGUGGGGGAUGACGGCCUUCGGGUUGUAAACCUCUUUCAGCACCGACGAAGCGCAAGUGACGGUAGGUGCAGAAGAAGGACCGGCCAACUACGUGCCAGCAGCCGCCGUAA
rnacentral:rRNA from 1 species